CGGCGUGCCUAAUACAUGCAAGUCGAGCGGACCGACGGGAGCUUGCUCCCUUAGGUCAGCGGCGGACGGGUGAGUAACACGUGGGUAACCUGCCUGUAAGACUGGGAUAACUCCGGGAAACCGGGGCUAAUACCGGAUGCUUGAUUGAACCGCAUGGUUCAAUCAUAAAAGGUGGCUUUUAGCUACCACUUACAGAUGGACCCGCGGCGCAUUAGCUAGUUGGUGAGGUAACGGCUCACCAAGGCGACGAUGCGUAGCCGACCUGAGAGGGUGAUCGGCCACACUGGGACUGAGACACGGCCCAGACUCCUACGGGAGGCAGCAGUAGGGAAUCUUCCGCAAUGGACGAAAGUCUGACGGAGCAACGCCGCGUGAGUGAUGAAGGUUUUCGGAUCGUAAAACUCUGUUGUUAGGGAAGAACAAGUACCGUUCGAAUAGGGCGGCACCUUGACGGUACCUAACCAGAAAGCC
rnacentral:rRNA from 1 species